rnacentral:misc_RNA from 1 species
GAUGAAGAACGUAGCGAAAUGCGAUAAGUAAUGUGAAUUGCAGAAUCCAGUGAAUCAUCGAAUCUUUGAACGCACAUUGCGCCCGCCAGCAUUCUGGCGGGCAUGCCUGUUCGAGCGUCAUUUCAACCCUCGACCUCCCUUUGGGGAAGUCGGCGUUGGGGACCGGCAGCACACCGCCGGCCCUGAAAUGGAGUGGCGGCCCGUCCGCGGCGACCUCUGCGUAGUAAACCAACUCGCACCGGAACCCCGACGUGGCCACGCCGUAAAACACCCAACUUCUGAACGUUGAGCUCGAAUCAGGUAGGACUACCCGCUGAACUUAAGCAUAUCAAUAAGCGGAGGA